UGGAAACAGCCCAUAGAGGCCUGAGAUCUAC
rnacentral:piRNA from 1 species